rnacentral:piRNA from 1 species
GCAACUCAUGGAGGGCAGGAUAAGGGGGU